AAAAAAUUUAAUUUAUAUUUAAAAAAUUUAUUUUAUAAAUAAUAAUAUAAAUAAGAUUUAAUAAGAUAAUUAAAUAAAUUUAAAUAAUGAAUAGUUUAAUAUUUAAUAUUUAUAAUUAUUAAAAUUAUAUAAAUAAUAAGUAGUAAUUUAUAAAAAUAAUAAUAAAAUUAGUGCCAGCAAUUGCGGUUAAACUAAUGUUAUAAAUAAAUUUUAUUUUAAUUAAAAAUUAAAUGAUAAAUUUAAAAUAAUUUUAAUAAAAUAGUAUAUUUUAUAUGGUGAAAUAUUAAAGUAAUAAAAUAUUAAGAUUAGAUAAAAAUGAAUUUAAAAAAUUAAGAAAAAAAUUAGGAUUAGAUACCCUAUUAUUAUAAAUAAAAUUAAUUAAUAAGAAAUUAAAUGUAGAAUCAUUAAAUUUAAAAAAUUUGGCGGUAUUUUAAAUAGUUAGAGGAACUUGUUAGUUAAAUGAUGAUCCACGAAUGGAAGGUCCUAAUAAAAUUUUAUGUAUUGUUGUAUAAAAAUUAUUUUAUGAGAAUUAUAAUUGGAAUAUUUAAUUUAAUUUGAAUUCAAAUCAAAAUGUAGAAUUGUUAGGUUUAAAUGAGUUACAGUUUAAUUUAAUAUGGUAGUUAUUUUUUUAAUGAAUUAAUAUUAUAGGAUUUAAAAGUAAAUUUAAAAAAAUUUUUAAAUUGAAAUAUUAAUUAAAAUAUGUACAAAUUGCCCGUCAUUUUCAUGAAUAAGUAAUUGGAAAAAGUCGUAACAAAGUAAGUGUACAGGAAUGUGUAUUUAGAUUAAU
rnacentral:ncRNA from 1 species